rnacentral:rRNA from 1 species
UACGUAUGGUGCAAGCGUUAUCCGGAUUUACUGGGUGUAAAGGGAGCGUAGACGGCUGUGUAAGUCUGAAGUGAAAGCCCGGGGCUCAACUCCGGGACUGCUUUGGAAACUAUGCAGCUAGAGUGUCGGAGAGGUAAGUGGAAUUCCCAGUGUAGCGGUGAAAUGCGUAGAUAUUGGGAGGAACACCAGUGGCGAAGGCGGCUUACUGGACGAUGACUGACGUUGAGGCUCGAAAGCGUGGGGAGCAAACAGG